rnacentral:rRNA from 1 species
CCUACGGGGCGCAGCAGUAGGGAAUCUUCCACAAUGGGCGAAAGCCUGAUGGAGCAACGCCGCGUGGGUGAAGAAGGUCUUCGGAUCGUAAAACCCUGUUGUUAGAGAAGAAAGUGCGUGAGAGUAACUGUUCACGUUUCGACGGUAUCUAACCAGAAAGCCACGGCUAACUACGUGCCAGCAGCCGCGGUAAUACGUAGGUGGCAAGCGUUAUCCGGAUUUAUUGGGCGUAAAGGGAACGCAGGCGGUCUUUUAAGUCUGAUGGGAAAGCCUUCGGCUUAACCGGAGUAGUGCAUUGGAAACUGGGAGACUUGAGUGCAGAAGAGGAGAGUGGAACUCCAUGUGUAGCGGUGAAAUGCGUAGAUAUAUGGAAGAACACCAGUGGCGAAAGCGGCUCUCUGGUCUGUAACUGACGCUGAGGUUCGAAAGCGUGGGUAGCAAACAGGAUUAGAUACCCGGGUAGUC